UACGUAGGGUGCAAGCGUUAAUCGGAAUUACUGGGCGUAAAGCGUGCGCAGGCGGUUAUGUAAGACAGAUGUGAAAUGCCCGGGCUUAACCUGGGAACUGCGCUUGUAACUAGCGGGCUAGAGUGCGGCAGAGGGGGGUGGAAUUCCACGUGUAGCAGUGAAAUGCGUAGAUAUGUGGAGGAACACCGAUGGCGAAGGCAGCCCCCUGGGUCGACACUGACGCUCAUGCACAAAAGCGUGGGGAGCAAACAGG
rnacentral:rRNA from 1 species